UACGUAGGGGGCAAGCGUUGUCCGGAAUCCUUGGGCGUAAAGCGCGUGUAGGCGGCUCGGUAAGUCUGCUGUGAAAGUCCAGGGCUCAACCCUGGGAUGCCGGUGGAUACUGUCGAGCUCGAGUCCGGAAGAGGCGAGUGGAAUUCCUGGUGUAGCGGUGAAAUGCGCAGAUAUCAGGAGGAACACCAAUGGCGAAGGCAGCUCGCUGGGACGUGACUGACGCUGAGACGCGAAAGCGUGGGGAGCAAACAGG
rnacentral:rRNA from 1 species